rnacentral:rRNA from 1 species
AGAGUUUGAUCAUGGCUCAGAUUGAACGCUGGCGGCAUGCCUUACACAUGCAAGUCGAACGGCAGCACGGGAGCUUGCUCCUGGUGGCGAGUGGCGAACGGGUGAGUAAUAUAUCGGAACGUACCCUAGAGUGGGGGAUAACGCAGCGAAAGUUGCGCUAAUACCGCAUACGAUCUACGGAUGAAAGCGGGGGAUCGCAAGACCUCAUGCUCAUGGAGCGGCCGAUAUCUGAUUAGCUAGUUGGUGGGGUAAAGGCCUACCAAGGCAUCGAUCAGUAGCUGGUCUGAGAGGACGACCAGCCACACUGGAACUGAGACACGGUCCAGACUCCUACGGGAGGCAGCAGUGGGGAAUUUUGGACAAUGGGCGCAAGCCUGAUCCAGCAAUGCCGCGUGAGUGAAGAAGGCCUUCGGGUUGUAAAGCUCUUUUGUCAGGGAAGAAACGGUGAGGGCUAAUAUCCUUUGCUAAUGACGGUACCUGAAGAAUAAGCACCGGCUAACUACGUGCCAGCAGCCGCGGUAAUACGUAGGGUGCAAGCGUUAAUCGGAAUUACUGGGCGUAAAGCGUGCGCAGGCGGUUAUGUAAGUCAGAUGUGAAAUCCCCGGGCUCAACCUGGGAAUGGCAUUUGAGACUGCAUGGCUAGAGUGUGUCAGAGGGGGGGUAGAAUUCCACGUGUAGCAGUGAAAUGCGUAGAGAUGUGGAGGAAUACCGAUGGCGAAGGCAGCCCCCUGGGAUAACACUGACGCUCAUGCACGAAAGCGUGGGGAGCAAACAGGAUUAGAUACCCUGGUAGUCCACGCCCUAAACGAUGUCUACUAGUUGUCGGGACUUAAUUGUCUUGGUAACGCAGCUAACGCGUGAAGUAGACCGCCUGGGGAGUACGGUCGCAAGAUUAAAACUCAAAGGAAUUGACGGGGACCCGCACAAGCGGUGGAUGAUGUGGAUUAAUUCGAUGCAACGCGAAAAACCUUACCUACCCUUGACAUGUACGGAACCUCUGAGAGAUUAGAGGGUGCUCGAAAGAGAGCCGUAACACAGGUGCUGCAUGGCUGUCGUCAGCUCGUGUCGUGAGAUGUUGGGUUAAGUCCCGCAACGAGCGCAACCCUUGUCAUUAGUUGCUACGAAAGGGCACUCUAAUGAGACUGCCGGUGACAAACCGGAGGAAGGUGGGGAUGACGUCAAGUCCUCAUGGCCCUUAUGGGUAGGGCUUCACACGUCAUACAAUGGUACAUACAGAGGGCCGCCAACCCGCGAGGGGGAGCUAAUCCCAGAAAGUGUAUCGUAGUCCGGAUUGUAGUCUGCAACUCGACUACAUGAAGUUGGAAUCGCUAGUAAUCGCGGAUCAGCAUGUCGCGGUGAAUACGUUCCCGGGCCUUGUACACACCGCCC